rnacentral:rRNA from 1 species
UAGGGAAUAUUGGACAAUGGGUGAGAGCCUGAUCCAGCCAUGCCGCGUGCAGGAAGAAGGCGUUAUGCGUUGUAAACUGCUUUUUGCCAGGGGAUAAAAAGACCGUGCGCGGUUAAUUGAAGGUACCUGGUGAAUAAGCCACGGCUAACUACGUGCCAGCAGCCGCGGUAAUACGUAGGUGGCAAGCGUUAAUCGGAAUUACUGGGCGUAAAGCGUGCGCAGGCGGUUAUGCAAGACAGAUGUGAAAUCCCCGGGCUCAACCUGGGAACUGCAUUUGUGACUGUAUAGCUAGAGUACGGUAGAGGGGGAUGGAAUUCCGCGUGUAGCAGUGAAAUGCGUAGAUAUGCGGAGGAACACCGAUGGCGAAGGCAACUUUCUGGUCUGUAACUGACGCUGAUGUGCGAAAGCGUGGGGAUCAAACAGGAUUAGAUACCCCAGUAGUCCCUGAGCGGGCUGGCAAGGCGCAU